UACGGAGGGUGCAAGCGUUAUCCGGAUUCACUGGGUUUAAAGGGUGCGUAGGCGGACAGGUAAGUCAGUGGUGAAAUCUCCCGAGCUUAACUCGGAAACUGCCUUUGAUACUCUCUGUCUUGAAUAUGGUGGAGGUAAGCGGAAUAUGUCAUGUAGCGGUGAAAUGCUUAGAGAUGACAUAGAACACCUAUUGCGAAGGCAGCUUACUACGCCUAUAUUGACGCUGAGGCACGAAAGCGUGGGGAUCAAACAGG
rnacentral:rRNA from 1 species